AUUCACUCGACCUAAUUUUUCUCAGUUAUUGGUGAACAAGGAGUUUGAAUUUUCUUAUGAUUUAGAGAAUUCAGUAAACAGUUCCAUGUCAAUGAUACAUUUGUUGUUGGGUCUUCAGCAUUGAGCACUCAAAUCUGCGCGCGUCGCAUCUAAUGUAAGUUGAGCUUUAUGUUAAAUUUACUUUGUUGUGAAUCGUGACCGUAAAUGGUUUCAUGAAAGGAUGCUUUGGUGUUUUAAAGAAAUAUAGUUGUUUGUUAUUUUAA